rnacentral:rRNA from 1 species
GACGAACGCUGGCGGCGUGCUUAACACAUGCAAGUCGAACGGAAAGGCCCUGCUUUUGUGGGGGGCUCGAGUGGCGAACGGGUGAGUAACACGUGAGUAACCUGCCCUGGACUUUGGGAUAACUUCAGGAAACUGGGGAUAAUACCGGAUAGGAGCUCCUGCUGCAUGGUGGGGGUUGGAAAGUUUGGGCGGUUGGGGAUGGACUCGCGGCUUAUCAGCUUGUUGGUGGGGUAGUGGCUUACCAAGGCUUUGACGGGUAGCCGGCCUGAGAGGGUGACCGGCCACAUUGGGACUGAGAUACGGCCCAGACUCCUACGGGAGGCAGCAGUGGGGAAUAUUGCACAAUGGGCGGAAGCCUGAUGCAGCAACGCCGCGUGCGGAAUGACGGCCUUCGGGUUGUAAACCGCUUUCGCCUGUGACGAAGCGUGAGUGACGGUAAUGGGUAAAGAAGCACCGGCUAACUACGUG